GACGAACGCUGGCGGCGUGCCUAAUACAUGCAAAUCGAACGCAGUGGGGACGGGUGAGUAACACGUGGGUAACCUCCCCCUCAGAGGGGAUAACACUUUGAAACAGGUGCUAAACCGAUAUUGAUGGAUGGACCCGCGGUGCAUUAGCUAUUUGUGGAGGUAAAGGCUCACCAAGGCCACGAUGCAUAGCCGACCUGAGAGGGUGAUCGGCCACACUGGAACUGAGACACGGCCCAGACUCCUACGGGAGGCAGCAGUAGGGAAUCUUCGGCAAUGGGCGAAAGCCUGACCGAGCAACGCCGCGUGAGUGAAGAAGGUUUUCGGAGCGUAAAGCUCUGUUGUUAGAGAAGCGGUAUCUAACCAGAAAGCCACGGCUAACUACGUGCCAGCAGCCGCGGUAAUAC
rnacentral:rRNA from 1 species